rnacentral:SRP_RNA from 1 species
CCGUGCUAGAUGGGGAGCUGGCGGUGCCCUGUAACCCGCAAUCCGCCUUAGCGGGGUUGAAUUCCACUCUAGCGGUACGUAUUAUGUAAGGCUUGCCUUGUGUAAGUAGUGUUGACGUUUGGAGUCUGCGCAACAGAAAGCUAUGAAACUGGUCAGAUCCGGAAGGAAGCAGCCAUAAGUAGUUGAUUCUGUGUGCCGCAGGUUGCUCUAAACUGAGCUGGCUGCACAAGUAACACUUGGAUAAGCGUAUCAAAGAGUGGUGCACGG